rnacentral:rRNA from 1 species
GAUGAACGCUGGCGGCGUGCCUAAUACAUGCAAGUCGAGCGAACGGACGAGAAGCUUGCUUCUCUGAUGUUAGCGGCGGACGGGUGAGUAACACGUGGAUAACCUACCUAUAAGACUGGGAUAACUUCGGGAAACCGGAGCUAAUACCGGAUAAUAUUUUGAACCGCAUGGUUCAAAAGUGAAAGACGGUCCUGCUGUCACUUAUAGAUGGAUCCGCGCUGCAUUAGCUAGUUGGUAAGGUAACGGCUUACCAAGGCAACGAUGCAUAGCCGACCUGAGAGGGUGAUCGGUCACACUGGAACUGAGACACGGUCCAGACUCCUACGGGAGGCAGCAGUAGGGAAUCUGCCGCAAUGGGCGAAAGCCUGACGGAGCAACGCCGCGUGAGUGAUGAAGGUCUUCGGAUCGUAAAACUCUGUUAUUAGGGAAGAACAUAUGUGUAAGUAACUGUGCACAUCUUGACGGUACCUAAUCAGAAAGCCACGGCUAACUACGU